GGAAGUAAAAGUCGAACAAGGUUUCCGUAGGUGAACCUGCGGAAGGAUCAUUACUGAGUGAGGGCCCUCUGGGUCCAACCUCCCACCCGUGUUUAUUGUACCUUGUUGCUUCGGUGCGCCCGCCUCACGGCCGCCGGGGGGCUUCUGCCCCCGGGUCCGCGCGCACCGGAGACACCAUUGAACUCUGUCUGAAGAUUGCAGUCUGAGCAUAAACUAAAUAAGUUAAAACUUUCAACAACGGAUCUCUUGGUUCCG
rnacentral:misc_RNA from 1 species